rnacentral:rRNA from 1 species
GACGAACCGUGCGAACGUUGUUCGGAAUCACUGGGCAUAAAGGGCGCGUAGGCGGCCUUCUAAGUCGAACGUGAAAUCCCUGGGCUCAACCCAGGAACUGCGUCCGAUACUGGAAGGCUUGAAUCCGGGAGAGGGAUGCGGAAUUCCAGGUGUAGCGGUGAAAUGCGUAGAUAUCUGGAGGAACACCGAUGGCGAAGGCAGGUCACUGAGCCGCAACUGACGCUGAGGAGCGAAAGCAUGGGGAGCAACAGG